rnacentral:rRNA from 1 species
UACGGAGGGUGCGAGCGUUGUCCGGAAUCACUGGGCGUAAAGGGCGCGUAGGCGGCAUGCCAAGCGUGUGGUGAAAGCCCGGGGCUCAACCCCGGGUCGGCCGUGCGGACUGGCGUGCUCGAGCACUGUAGGGGCGGGUGGAAUUCCGGGUGUAGCGGUGGAAUGCGUAGAGAGUCCGGAAGAACACCGGUGGCGAAGGCGGCCCGCUGGGCAGGAAGGCUCGCAAGAGCCGGCUGACGCUGAGGCGCGACAGCGUGGGGGAGCAAACAGG